UCUUUAAUUGAUCUGACGAGCUUGCUCUGAUUUGAUUUCCCCUGACAAAGAGUGGCGAACGGGUGAGUAACACGUGGGUAACCUACCUCUUAGCAGGGGAUAACAUUUGGAAACAAGUGCUAAUACCGUAUAAUACCAACAACCGCAUGGUUGUUGGUUGCAAGAUGGUUCUGCUAUCACUAAGAGAUGGACCCGCGGUGCAUUAGCUAGUUGGUAAGGUAACGGCGUACCAAGGCAAUGAUGCAUAGCCGAGUUGAGAGACUGAUCGGCCACAAUGGGACUGAGACACGGCCCAUACUCCUACGGGAGGCAGCAGUAGGGAAUCUUCCACAAUGGGCGCAAGCCUGAUGGAGCAACGCCGCGUGUGUGAUGAAGGGUUUCGGCUCGUAAAACACUGUUAUAAGAGAAGAACGGCACUGAGAGUAACUGUUCAGUGUGUGACGGUAUCUUACCAGAAAGGAACGGCUAAAUACGUGCCAGCAGCCGCGGUAAUACGUAUGUUCCAAGCGUUAUCCGGAUUUAUUGGGCGUAAAGCGAGCGCAGACGGUUAUUUAAGUCUGAAGUGAAAGCCCUCAGCUCAACUGAGGAAUGGCUUUGGAAACUGGAUGACUUGAGUGCAGUAGAGGAAAGUGGAACUCCAUGUGUAGCGGUGAAAUGCGUAGAUAUAUGGAAGAACACCAGUGGCGAAGGCGGCUUUCUGGACUGUAACUGACGUUGAGGCUCGAAAGUGUGGGUAGCAAACAGGAUUAGAUACCCUGGUAGU
rnacentral:rRNA from 1 species